rnacentral:tRNA from 1 species
GCCGGGGUGGCGGAACCGGCAGACGCCGGGGACUUAAAAUCCUCUGCCGCAAGGCGUGCGGGUUCGAAUCCCGCCCCCGGCACCA